rnacentral:rRNA from 1 species
UAUGUGAUCGUCUCUCGCAUAUCAAUAAGCGGAGGAAAAGAAACUAACAAGGAUUCCCCUAGUAACGGCGAGUGAAGCGGGAAGAGCUCAAAUUUGAAAUCUUAAAGGGUUUCCCUUUACGAAUUGUAGUUUAAAGAAGUGUUUUCUGUUGAGGUUUUGGUAAAAGUUCUUUGGAAUAGGACAUCAUAGAGGGUGAGAAUCCCGUAUUUGACCUUUACUUUCAACUUUGUGAUACACUUUCAAAGAGUCGGAUUGUUUGGGAAUGCAGUCCAAAAUGGGUGGUAAAUUUCAUCUAAAGCUAAAUAUUGGCGGGAGACCGAUAGCGAACAAGUACCGUGAGGGAAAGAUGAAAAGAACUUUGAAAAGAGAGUUAAACAGUACGUGAAAUUGUCAAAAGGGAAGCGUUUGACACCAGUGUUGUUUUUCUGAAAAUCAAUUAAAGAACUGUUUAUGCUAAGUUGUUUAGACUUUAUCAGCCUAUCUGCUUUAGUUUUGAGCUUUUCUUUAAUGCACUUUUCAGUUAACAAGUCAACAUCAAUUUCUUUUGCUGUAAAAAAGCUUGAGGAAGGUGGCUUGAGAUUCGUCUUAAGUGUUUAUAGCCUCUUGCCUACGCAGUCGGAGAGAUUGAGGUCUGCAGCGUAGAUCCUUCGGGGCUAAAUGCAUUUGUGCUAAGUUAUAGCAUUUUAUAGACAACUUGUUGACUAUGAUUUGUCUUGUAGCUUACUCGCUUAUGUUAUUUUACCUACGCUUAGGAUGUUGACGAGACUGUCGAUCUC